rnacentral:rRNA from 1 species
GAUGAACGCUAGCUACAGGCUUAACACAUGCAAGUCGAGGGGAAACGACAUCGAAAGCUUGCUUUUGCUGGGCGUCGACCGGCGCACGGGUGAGUAACGCGUAUCCAACCUGCGCACCACUUGGGUAUAACCUUGCGAAAGUAAGACUAAUACCCAAUGAUAUCUCUAGAAGACAUCUGAAAGAGAUUAAAGUUUUAUCGGUGAUGGAUGGGGAUGCGUCUGAUUAGCUUGUUGGCGGGGUAACGGCACACCAAGGCAACGAUCAGUAGGGGUUCUGAGAGGAAGGUCCCCUAGAAUGGAACUGAGACACAGUCCAAACUCGUACGCGACGCAGCAGUGAGGAAUAUUGAUCAAUGGACGAUAGUCUGACCCAGCCAAGUAGCGUGCAGGAAGACGGCCAUAUGAGUUGUAAACUGCUUUUAUAAGGGAAUAAUGUGAGUAUCGUGAGACUUUUUGCAUGUACCUUAUGAAUAAGGCCCGGCUAAUUCCGUG